CCCUUAGAUGUUCUGGGCCGCACGCGCGCUACACUGAUGCAUUCAACGAGUUUUGUUUGUUCCUUGACCGAGAGGCCUGGGCAAUCUUUUGAACUUGCAUCGUGAUAGGGAUAGAUUAUUGCAAUUAUUAAUCUUGAACGAGGAAUUCCUAGUAAACGCAGAUCAUCAAUCUGCAUUGAUUACGUCCCUGCCCUUUGUACACACCGCCCGUCGCACCUACCGAUUGAAUGGUCCGGUGAAGCCUCGGGAUUGUGGUUGGUUUCCUUUAUUGGAGAUUGAUUGCGAGAACUUGUCUAAACCUUAUCAUUUAGAGGAAGGUGAAGUCGUAACA
rnacentral:rRNA from 1 species